UACGUAGGUGGCAAGCGUUGUCCGGAUUUACUGGGCGUAAAGAGCGCGCAGGCGGUCGUCAAGUCGCGUGUGAAAGCCCCCGGCUCAACUGGGGAGUGUCGUGCGAUACGGUCGGACUGGAGGCCAGUAGGGGAUGCGGAAUUCCGGGUGAGUGGUGGAAUGCGUAGAGAUCCGGGAGGAACAUCAGUGGCGAAGGCGGCAUCCUGGACCGAGAUUGACGCUGAGGCGCGAAAGCCAGGGGAGCAAAGCGGG
rnacentral:rRNA from 1 species